rnacentral:rRNA from 1 species
UACGAAGGUGGCGAGCGUUGUUCGGAAUCAUUGGGCUUAAAGGGCGCGUAGGCGGCUCAUCAAGUGUCUUGUGAAAUCCCUCGGCUUAACCGGGGAAUUGCUGGGCAUACUGUUGAGCUUGAGGCAGGUAUGGGCGAGUGGAACUCUUGGUGGAGCGGUGGAAUGCGUAGAUAUCAAGAGGAACGCCGGUGGUGAAGACGAUUCGCUGGGCCUGUCCUGACGCUGAGGCGCGAAAGCCAGGGGAGCAAACAGG